rnacentral:rRNA from 1 species
UGAGGAAUUUUGCGCAAUGGGGGAAACCCUGACGCAGCAACGCCGCGUGGGCGAUGAAGGCCUUCGGGUCGUAAAGCCCUGUCGGGCGGGAAGAACGCUCUUGGUCGAAAGACUGGGGGGUGACGGUACCGCCAGAGGAAGCACCGGCUAACUCCGUGCCAGCAGCCGCGGUAAUACGGAGGGUGCAGGCGUUAUUCGGAAUUACUGGGCGUAAAGGGCGUGCAGGCGGGAGAGUAAGUCUGAUGUGAAAGCCCGGGGCUUAACCCCGGAAGGGCAUUGGAAACUGCUUGUCUUGAG